UGAAUACGAGACGCUAAGGCGUCGAAGUAGUGUAUGUCAUACUUCCAAGAAAAGCUUGCACUGUCAUAGAUAAAAAACGCCUGUACCAUAACCGACACAGGUGGGUAGGUAGAGUAUACUAAGGGGCGCGAGAUAACUCUCUCUAAGGAACUCGGCAAAAUAACUCCGUAACUUCGGGAGAAGGAGUGCCUUAUUCUUAAGGUUGCAAUAACAAGAUCCAAGCAACUGUUUAUCAAAAACACAGGUCUCCGCUAAGUCGUAAGACGAUGUAUGGGGGCUGACGCCUGCCCAGUGCCAGAAGGUUAAAGAAGCUGGUUAGCAUUUGCGAAGCUAGUAACUGAAGCCCUGGUGAACGGCGGCCGUAACAAUAACGGUCCUAAGGUAGCAAAUUCCUUGUUGGGUAGUUCCGACCCGCACGAAAGGCGUAAUGAUUUGGAUACUGUCUCGGAGAGGGGCUCGGUGAAAUAGACUUGUCUGUGAAGAUGCGGACUACCUGCACCAGGACAGAAAGACCCUAUGAAGCUUUACUGUAACUUGAAAUUGAAAUUGGACUUUAUUCGCGCAGUAUAGGUGGGAGGCGUUGAUUAUAAUCUUGCGGGAUUAUUGGAGCCAUUAGUGAGAUACCACUCUUGUAAUGUUAGAUUUCUAACUUUGAAUCAUUAUCUGGUCAAAGAACAGUUUCAGGCGGGCAGUUUGACUGGGGCGGUCGCCUCCCAAACGGUAACGGAGGCGUACAAAGGUUUCCUCUGAACGGUUAGAAAUCGUAUCUAGAGUGUAAAGGCAUAAGGAAGCUUGACUGUGAGACCUACAAGUCGAGCAGGGACGAAAGUCGGUCUUAGUGAUCUGACGGUACUGAGUGGAAAGGCCGUCACUCAACGGAUAAAAGUUACUCUAGGAUAACAGGCUGAUCUCCCCCAAGAGUUCACAUCGACGGGGAGGUUUGGCACCUCGAUGUCGGCUCAUCGCAUCCUGGGGCGGUAGUACGUCCCAAGGGUUGGGCUGUUCGCCCAUGAAAGCGGUACGCGAGCUGGGUUCAGAACGUCGUGAGACAGUUCGGUCCAUAUCCGGUGUAGGCGUUAGAAUAUUGAGAGGAGCCUUCUUUAGUACGAGAGGACCGAGAAGGACAUACCUCUGGUGUACCAGUUAUCGUGCCAACGGUAGACGCUGGGUAGCUAUGUAUGGAGUGGAUAACCGCUGAAAGCAUCUAAGUGGGAAGCCCACCUCAAGAUAAG
rnacentral:rRNA from 1 species